rnacentral:rRNA from 1 species
GACGAACGCUGGCGGCGUGCUUAACACAUGCAAGUCGAACGGAAAGGCCCUGCUUUUGUGGGGUGCUCGAGUGGCGAACGGGUGAGUAACACGUGAGUAACCUGCCCUUGACUUUGGGAUAACUUCAGGAAACUGGGGCUAAUACCGGAUAGGAGCUCCUGCCGCAUGGUGGGGGUUGGAAAGUUUCGGCGGUUGGGGAUGGACUCGCGGCUUAUCAGCUUGUUGGUGGGGUAGUGGCUUACCAAGGCUUUGACGGGUAGCCGGCCUGAGAGGGUGACCGGCCACAUUGGGACUGAGAUACGGCCCAGACUCCUACGGGAGGCAGCAGUGGGGAAUAUUGCACAAUGGGCGGAAGCCUGAUGCAGCAACGCCGCGUGCGGGAUGACGGCCUUCGGGUUGUAAACCGCUUUCGCCUGUGGCGAAGCGUGAGUGACGGUAAUGGGUAAAGAAGCACCGGCUAACUACGUG